UACAGAGGUCUCAAGCGUUGUUCGGAUUCAUUGGGCGUAAAGGGUGCGUAGGUGGUGACGCAAGUCUGGUGUGAAAUCUCGGAGCUCAACUCCGAAAUUGCACCGGAUACUGCGUGACUCGAGGACUGUAGAGGAGAUCGGAAUUCACGGUGUAGCAGUGAAUGCGUAGAUAUCGUGAGGAAGACCAGUUGCGAAGGCGGAUCUCUGGCGAGUUCCUGACACUGAGGCACGAAGGCCAGGGGAGCAAACGGG
rnacentral:rRNA from 1 species